rnacentral:lncRNA from 10 species
UCCGCAGAAUUUCUGAAGGUGUUCAUUCCAUCUCUCUUCCUUUCUCAUGUUUUGGCUUUGGGGCUAGGGUAACAUCUAUAUUGGAAAGCGACUGAGCACACCCUCUGCCAGCACCUACUGAGGGAAAGGAAAAGCCCCUGGAAAUGCGUGUGACCUGUGAAGUGGUGUAUUGUCACAGUAGCUUAUUUGAACUUGAGACCAUUGUAAGCAUGACCCAACCUACCACCCUGUUUUUACAUAUCCAAUUCCAGUAACUCUCAAAUUCAAUAUUUUAUUCAAACUCUGUUGAGGCAUUUUACUAACCUUAUACCCUUUUUGGCCUGAAGACAUUUUAGAAUUUCCUAACAGAGUUUACUGUUGUUUAGAAAUUUGCAAGGGCUUCUUUUCCGCAAAUGCCACCAGCAGAUUAUAAUUUUGUCAGCAAUGCUAUUAUCUCUAAUUAGUGCCACCAGACUAGACCUGUAUCAUUCAUGGUAUAAAUUUUACUCUUGCAACAUAACUACCAUCUCUCUCUUAAAACGAGAUCAGGUUAGCAAAUGAUGUAAAAGAAGCUUUAUUGUCUAGUUGUUUUUUUUCCCCCAAGACAAAGGCAAGUUUCCCUAAGUUUGAGUUGAUAGUUAUUAAAAAGAAAACAAAACAAAAAAAAAAGGCAAGGCACAACAAAAAAAUAUCCUGGG